rnacentral:rRNA from 1 species
UACGGAGGGUGCAAGCGUUACUCGGAAUUACUGGGCGUAAAGCGUGCGCAGGCGGUUUGUUAAGUCUGUCGUGAAAUCCCCGAGCUCAACUUGGGAAUUGCAAUGGAUACUGGCAGGCUGGAGUAUGGUAGAGGAAGGUGGAAUUCCCGGUGUAGCAGUGAAAUGCGUAGAGAUCGGGAGGAACACCAGUGGCGAAGGCGGCCUUCUGGACCAAUACUGACGCUGAGGCACGAAAGCGUGGGGAGCAAACAGG